rnacentral:rRNA from 1 species
GUAGUCAUAUGCUUGUCUCAAAGAUUAAGCCAUGCAUGUCUAAGUAUAAGCAAUCUAUACAGUGAAACUGCGAAUGGCUCAUUAAAUCAGUUAUCGUUUAUUUGAUAGUACCUUACUACUUGGAUAACCGUGGUAAUUCUAGAGCUAAUACAUGCUAAAAACCCCGACUUCGGAAGGGGUGUAUUUAUUAGAUAAAAAACCAAUGCCCUUCGGGGCUCCUUGGUGAUUCAUAAUAACUUAACGAAUCGCAUGGCCUUGUGCCGGCGAUGGUUCAUUCAAAUUUCUGCCCUAUCAACUUUCGAUGGUUAGGUCUUGGCUAACCAUGGUUUCAACGGGUAACGGGGAAUA